CGAGUAAGUACGAGGGGGGUAAAUACAAUAUAUGAACCACCACCCGUCAGCCCGCGAUCACUUUACGGUUUCUCAGCGACAGGGGUCUGUAAGCACAGAUUUACUAAACAAAUUCCAUCACACUGUUCGAUCAAUAUAAAUUAAAUAGACCAUUUGGGGUAGCCAAGGGGUGUCAUUUUAUUAGCAAUGUGUGUGUUGUGCGUAGCCGUCGGGCCCUGUGUCGACCCCUGACACCAAUUGUGAAGCACACUGGCUCGAGAAAGGACCAGCUUUUAAACUCAGUUCAUAUAUCACAGAGACAGGUAUAUUAUCAACUAUAUUAUCGAGGGUUGUAAGCGCUAUCUGUUCAACCGUCGCACCCCGGGACGUGAUAAGUUCAAAGUGAGAGAGAGCGCGCUGCAAACAGAUUGGUUUUUAUCUCUAUAAUUAUAUAUAACCAUGGACCUGUUUAUGCUCUUCACACUGGAGUUUCUUUGGGACUGCUAGUUGCGGUAUAUGAAGACACGCUAUGGGAUAUAGAGAUUUGAUAACAGAUCACAUGUGAAAAUAUCUCCUUCAGAACGACGUAAGGAGUGAUUCUACUUCAACUCUAGGAUAGUGCAUGCCUUGAGGCGAGCCGGGCGUUGAAACUAGGGUGUUCUUGUCCAUGCGGUCACGAUGGAAGAUGAUUCAGACAGUCUGUUCACCAUCAACGAGGAGGAGGAGUCCGCCUCCAGACUUCAGCCUGAGUCUCAGACCUCCUACUUCAUCCUGGGGUCUCACAAAGUCAGAUUCCUUCCGUCCGUCAACUUUAUUUACCAGCGGCUAAACUUCAGAGACCGAUGCGGACAGGUACCACAUUUCGUUAAAUCCAAUGUACAAAAGACUGCUAGACUAUCGUCUGAAUCUUUUAUUCUGAAAGUGAACUAUCUACGGCGCCGUCGGGAGGCAAGCACGGACGUCAACAAGAAUCGUCUGCUUGAAGAGGAGAGCAGACGACAAAAGUUCUAUGACCAGUCACCUCGCCGAUCUGGUUCCUCGGCGUCUCAUGCUUAAUUGCAGCUCAUCAGAAUGUAUUAGUCACUCAGUCGUAUGUAUGUGGCUUAAAGAAUAUGAUGGCAUUGGUGGUGGAAAAUGGAAAAGAUUCAUGCAAUAAUGAAGAACCUUAUUGUGUAGAUUAAGUUCUUCGAAAACACUUGAGAACUGUUCCAAUGGUGCAAAUAUUAUGCUAUAUAUGUAGUAUCAUAUGUGUCUUCAAAAUAUCCUAUUGAAGAAAAUCAUUAUUCUUGUUAUAAAUUUUCAUGUAUUUGAGAUAAUAAUUUUGAACAUUUUGUGUUGGGAAUCAGAGAAAAGGAGGACAUGGCCUUUCAGACAUGCACAUGGUACCACCAGUGUUUGGUGUUCGCCCGCGGCAGUGCUAUAUAUGUCACAUCGAUAGAUAGUCUCGUCAAAGUAAUCAUAUCCACAUGUAACGGAACUGCGCGUUUUAAGCCACCUCGUAAUUAAGCCCAUGGGCUUAAAAACGGGAAAUUAAAAAGCCCAUGGGCUUGAAUUAAACUGAAACUCUGAUUGAUGUCCAAUACCGGAUUCUUCUAACACGCGUUACAGCACGCUUCUAGUUGGCCAAUUUGCUUCUAUGUUGCAUCUUAGGGGCGAUCGGAUAGUCUAGAAGUUAAAGCAUUCGCUCGUCACGCCGAAGAUCCGGGUUCGAUGCCCCACAUGGGUACAAUGUCUGAAUCCAAUUUCUGGUGUCCCCCGCCGUGAUAUUGCUGGAAUGUUGUUUAGCGUAAAACCAUACUCUUUCACUCACGUUAGAGGUCUCCUUAUUCACAAGACACAUUGGACCCCUAACGCAUAGGUUAUUCUGGAUACAAAGUAUGACAUGUUCACGCGUUGGCAGGCAGGCAUAACAGCGAUAUUGGUUGUUGUUACUUUUUUUUUGACAGUUAUCAAUUCAGUUUUGAAAGUGCUCUUGACUAAUGAUUUUCAAGUUGAAAAAGAAAAUCAUGUCUUAAGUUAAAGUGUCUGUCUCAUUUCAUUUGUGAGAAUUGUUUCAGUAAACUUGGUAUAUUCAUUCUU